GCGCGCGCACACGCAUCCGCGGCGCCGGCCGCGUGUCCGCGGCGACGCCAGCGCGGCACGUCCUCGCCUCGCCUAUAUAUAGGCCUUCCCCGAGCCCUUCGAGCACAGCAUUGGCCUCCCCUCACUCCCAGCUCCCUCCCCAAUCAAUCAGCCGAGCCGGAGGACCUCUCCCCGCUGCCCAUCGCCGCCAUGGCCGCCGUCGGGCUCCGCUCGAAUCCGAGCAGCCCCGAGCUCCUCCCCUCUUUCUUCCACCUCCACUAGACCACCUGGAGUACCCUGAGCCUCCCCAACUCUUCGCUUUCUCUUCUGGUGGCCCGGAGCGCCGUGCCCGCAUCUGCCCGAUGCCACCGUCCGCCGGCCUCAUAGCCACCGCCGCCUCGGUCCUCCUCACCGGCCGCGGCUGGCACCACUAGAUGCGCCUAUCCGCGCUGAGCUCGCCCAUAGGCGGAGCACUGCGGGAGACGCCCGGAGUCGCCGGCAAUCCCCGUCGUGGCCGGCGGUCCUCUGACCAGCGCGGGAGCGAGCGAGGUUGAAGACGAGCCCAGGCCAGGCGGGCCCCAUCGCCCGCAGUCCCCUCGUCAGUGCCUCAGCCGUUGACACCGCCGCGCCACGUCACCCAGGGGCCUGUUUGUAGAGUUUAUUUUACAGAUUGGUUCUGGAUUUCAAACGCUUAUAUCUUUUUGCUCGAGACUCCAAAUGAGCCCCUCCGAGAGAGAACUGUUUCUGGCAAAUUUUUCCGCGGCUUCACCGC